rnacentral:sRNA from 1 species
AGCAGCCGCGGUAAUUCCAGCUCCAAUAGCGUAUAUUAAAGUUGUUGCAGUUAAAAAGCUCGUAGUUGAAUUUCGGGGUCAGUAGGUCGGUCGUGCCACAGGUAUGCACUGGUCUCACUGAUUCCUCCUUCCUGAUGAACCGGAGUGCCAUUAAUUUGGUGUUGCGGGGAGACUGGACUGUUACUUUGAAAAAUUGAGUGUUUAAAGCAGGCUAACGCUUGAAUACAUUAGCAUGGAAUAACGGAAUAGGACGUUCGAUCUUAUUUUGUUGGUUUCUAAGAUUGACGUAAUGAUUAAUAGGGAUAGUUGGGGGCAUUAGUAUUCAAUUGUCAGAGGUGAAAUUCUUGGAUUUAUUGAAGACUAACUACUGCGAAAGCAUUUGCCAAGGAUGUUUUCAUUAAUCAAGAACGA